rnacentral:misc_RNA from 1 species
CGGAAGUACGGUGCCGGAUAACGUCCGGCGAGGGCGACCUCAGGGAAAGUGCCACAGAAAGCAAACCGCUCCGCUUGCGGAGUAAGGGUGAAAGGGUGGGGUAAGAGCCCACCGCGGACAUGGCGACAUGGACGGCACGGCAAACCCCACCGGGAGCAAGACCGAAUAGGGAUGACGCGGACGCGCAAGCGUCCAGCCUGUUUCCGGGCCAGUCAUCCGGGUGGGUUGCAAGAGGCUGCGUGCAAACGUAGUCCCAGAUGAAUGGCUGCCACGUUCCGUUGUCUUCGGGCAAUGGGG